rnacentral:rRNA from 1 species
GAUGAACGCUGGCGGCGUGCCUAAUACAUGCAAGUCGAGCGAACAGACGAGGAGCUUGCUCCUCUGACGUUAGCGGCGGACGGGUGAGUAACACGUGGAUAACCUACCUAUAAGACUGGGAUAACUUCGGGAAACCGGAGCUAAUACCGGAUAAUAUAUUGAACCGCAUGGUUCAAUAGUGAAAGACGGUUUUGCUGUCACUUAUAGAUGGAUCCGCGCCGCAUUAGCUAGUUGGUAAGGAAACGGCUUACCAAGGCAACGAUGCGUAGCCGACCUGAGAGGGUGAUCGGCCACACUGGAACUGAGACACGGUCCAGACUCCUACGGGAGGCAGCAGUAGGGAAUCUUCCGCAAUGGGCGAAAGCCUGACGGAGCAACGCCGCGUGAGUGAUGAAGGUCUUCGGAUCGUAAAACUCUGUUAUUAGGGAAGAACAAAUGUGUAAGUAACUAUGCACGUCUUGACGGUACCUAAUCAGAAAGCCACGGCUAACUACGCG